GCCCCUGUAGCUCAGUCGGUAGAGCAGUGGACUGAAAAUCCAUGUGUCGGUGGUUCAAUUCCGCCCGGGGGCACCA
rnacentral:tRNA from 1 species